GAGAGACCAAAAGCAGCUUUGCUGGAAAGGCCCACGUAACUCCACAGAGGAGGAUAGGGAGGUUAAAAAUAUGAAUUCUGGAGCCAGAAUGUCCGGGUUCCAAUCCCAGAUCCCCCACUCACUGGCUGUGUGACUUUGGGCAAGUUGCUUCACCUUUCUGUGCCUCAGUCUCCUCAGCCCCAAAUGAGGAUAACAACGAUACCUACAUAGAAGGCUAUGUUCAUUGUCAUUCUUCAUCUGGUGCCUGGAGGCUUCUAGGAACAUCAGAUGGAAAAAUAUCCCAUGAUGCUUCUGGGCUCUGGAGCAUGCUGUGCCUUCUGCCUGGCCAGCCUCCCCUCUCUGCUCCCACUGGAGCAUCCUUAUUUGUCCUUCAGGACUGACCUUUGGGCCACCUCCUCUGAGAAGCCUUCUCAGAGCUCAGGGACCUGCCCUGAAUUCCCACAGCCCUUGUGUGUGCACAUCCCCCACAGCUGGGACGGGUUCUUCUUUGUCCACCUCCUCUUAUCCCUACACCUGUCUGGGCGGCAAAGCUCCUGAUUUCUCUUGGGGUACCUGGGGUACAGCAAAGCACCAGGCACAGAGGAGGCUAGCUGAAACUGGGACAACUAAAUAAAUCAAGUAGAACUGUCUGGGAGACUGGUCCCAGGAAACCCCUUGCCAGAACACAGGAUAGGGAAUGGGGAGGGCGGGUGCAGGCAUGGAGGAAGUGGGGUUCAAGCAGAAGCCACAUUUCCCAUGGUCCCGACAGAGCAGCCACAGGGGAGCUUCCCUGAGAUAAGGUGUCUCUAAUCUGAGCCCAUCAGAGAGCAAUAACAAUUAAAAUAGUCACCAACAUUAUUUUAUAUUAUGUAUGUUUAUAUUUUAUAUUAUUUAUAUGCAUUUUAUAUUUUAUAUAUAUUAACCUAUCUAUUCAACCAAGCCAUGAGGGAGAAAUUAAUAUCAUCCACAUUGCAUCAACAAGGAAACCCUCCACAGGGAAGGUAAGUAACUUGCUCAGGGCCACACAGCCAGGAAGCAGCAGGAUGAGCCCUGAUCCCAGGCCUUCUCCCUCCAGAGCCUGGCCUUUUGACAAGUCUGCUGCUAUGAGCAAGGAGGAAUCUUCCCAGCAACAUUCAUGUGUUUGUUCUAGAACAUUUGGGAAACAGAGGGAAGGAUAAAAGGACAAGUUCAUCCCAAGCCCUGCAAACAGAGUCUCCAGGAGACAGGGGCUUCUCAGGGCUCAGGGAGGGAGCUCCCUGUCUGAGCAGGUGUGACCCAGGGGAGGGACCACACUAGUCAGAAUGGUUCAUGGACUGGAGAGCUGGCUGCACCAGACCAGUGGUCUCCAACUGGAGGCACUUCUAUAUUAGGAUCGCACGGAAAUGUCAUUAGAAAGACAGAUCCCUGGGCCCCAGCACAGGCUUACUGAAUUAGAUUCUGAGGAUAAAGAGCCUGGAAUCUGAGUUUGUGACAAGCUCCCCAAACCUGAAUCAAUAAACUUUGAGACCCACUG